UUUAAUUAAAUAAAUUUAAUGUUUUAGAUUUAAUUAAUAUUAUUAGUAUUUAAAAUUAUAUAAGGUUUUUUUUUAUUUAAGUAAUAUAUUAUGAAAUAAUAUUUAUAUUAAUAGAUAAAGUAAUGUAAA
rnacentral:rRNA from 2 species